rnacentral:misc_RNA from 1 species
ACCAGUAAAUUAAAAUCACAACUAACAUGGCAUAUCAUUCACAGCAUAUGUUUGAUAGGAAAGGUAAUCCUCCACAUGCUCUUACAAGACAGGUUCAAAGUUAAGAUAGUCAAAGUAGUAGGCAAGUUUUGGCCAUAGUGGGGUUCAGCUUUGGGGAUCUUUCACAGAUAUAUCAUUCUCUACACAAAAUGUGCGUAUAAAAAAGUUCAUUUAUUGAUUAAUCCACUGAAAACGUUACAUAUUGAUUCAGCUAGUGAGGAAACUAGCAUGACCAUGCACCUAAAAGAAUUUGGUUAGCAAACACAUAGCAACUACUAGACAAAGUCUGGGAUUAAAAUAUUUAGCAAAAUUAUGUUAAAAGCAGAAUCAGGGUGGCACAACCUUUUUGUUACUUAAGUUAGAGAGGCAGAGAAUGAGACCCUUGGCUAGAACAACUUGUAUUCAGAUGAAAAUUAAGUAGCAUUCUAUUCCCUCAAAAUUAGAGAAGUUGAACGAUUAGAGUAACAGACUGCCCCCCGUACUUCCAUCCCAACAAGUAACAAUAUAAUUGCAGAAACUAGCCAUUGUAACAAUACCAAACUUGAGAGAACAACGAAAUUAAUACUUAAAACUUACCAAAAGAAAGAAAGAAAGAAAAGAA